GGAACCUGAGGGCCCCCGGCGCCACCAGAGCUUCGUGGCUUAAUGGGGGAGGCGAGGAGCCACUGCGGACCUGCUCGGGACAGUGAAGGGCGCCAGUCUCAGCCCUCAUCUGAAACCUGCUCCGUGACCCUGGACUAGUUCCUGCUCCUCUCUGGACCAAAUCCUGGCCCUGCUCCUUUCUGGCUGAGUAACUUUGGGAGGCAGGGGCAGUAUUAUCAUCUCCAUUUUACGAGGAGGAAAAGCAAGCAAUGUACCCAAGUUCCCACAGCU
rnacentral:lncRNA from 1 species